AUUGAACGCUGGCGGCAGGCCUAACACAUGCCAGUCGAGCGGAUGAAGGGAGCUUGCUCCUGGAUUCAGCGGCGGACGGGUGAGUAAUGCCUAGGAAUCUGCCUGGUAGUGGGGGAUAACGUCCGGAAACGGGCGCUAAUACCGCAUACGUCCUGAGGGAGAAAGUGGGGGAUCUUCGGACCUCACGCUAUCAGAUGAGCCUAGGUCGGAUUAGCUAGUUGUGGGGUAAAGGCCUACCAAGGCGACGAUCCGUAACUGGUCUGAGAGGAUGAUCAGUCACACUGGAACUGAGACACGGUCCAGACUCCUACGGGAGGCAGCAGUGGGGAAUAUUGGACAAUGGGCGAAAGCCUGAUCCAGCCAUGCCGCGUGUGUGAAGAAGGUCUUCGGAUUGUAAAGCACUUUAAGUUGGGAGGAAGGGCAGUAAGUUAAUACCUUGCUGUUUUGACGUUACCAACAGAAUAAGCACCGGCUAACUUCGUG
rnacentral:rRNA from 1 species